rnacentral:rRNA from 1 species
AUUGAACGCUGGCGGCAUGCCUUACACAUGCAAGUCGAACGACGUUACGGGGGCGAACUACCGUAGCGAGUGGCGAACGGGUGAGUAAUGCAUCGGAACGUGCCCUCUUGUGGGGGAGUAACCAGUCGAAAGAUUGGCUAAUACCGCAUGAGCUCGAGAGAGGAAAGCGGGGGAUCCGCAAGGACCUCGCGCGAGAGGAGCGGCCGAUGCCCGAUUAGCUAGUUGGUGGGGUAANAGCCCACCAAGGCGACGAUCGGUAGCUGGUCUGAGAGGACGACCAGCCACACUGGGACUGAGACACGGCCCAGACUCCUACGGGAGGCAGCAGUGGGGAAUUUUGGACAAUGGGGGCAACCCUGAUCCAGCCAUGCCGCGUGUGUGAAGAAGGCCUG